UUGCAUGUGGAAAUGUCUGUUCCAGAAUUUAUACAGCAUCAAAUAUCCAUAACAUGCUACAUUAAAAAAGGAGUUCUCAGGGCUGCCAAUCUUUAUAGAUGAGAUUGAAUGGCAGUAUAUUUCUCCUACAUUA
rnacentral:snoRNA from 1 species